UGAUGGCAGAAACCGUACAACACAAACAUCAGAAAUUCAUUCAUCUUAAAUUAUGAUCCUUGCGGAAGUUGCGGCUUUGAGACAGAAGACAUAAUACAGUGACUGGAACGAAUCAUAUCUGUGCCUGGAACUGCAGCUGAGAAGCAGAUGUUUCUAACAGAAGUGAUUUUGCCUGAGGUUCUGAUUUAUUGGUUGCAAACCAAUGUCAAUAUGUGCCUAUAUAUGGCCGAAUCUGUGCUUCUGAAGUGUACAUCUUUCGAAGGAAAGAAAAGG